CAGUCGCCACGGUAAUACGUAGUUGGCAAGCGUUGUCCGGAAUUAUUGGGCGUAAAGGGCUCGCAGGCGGUUUCUUAAGUCUGAUGUGAAAGCCCCCGGCUCAACCGGGGAGGGUCAUUGGAAACUGGGAAACUUGAGUGCAGAAGAGGAGAGUGGAAUUCCACGUGUAGCGGUGAAAUGCGUAGAGAUGUGGAGGAACACCAGUGGCGAAGGCGACUCUCUGGUCUGUAACUGACGCUGAGGAGCGAAAGCGUGGGGAGCGAACAGGAUUAGAUACCCCCGUAGUCCCUGUCUCUUAUAC
rnacentral:rRNA from 1 species